ensembl:misc_RNA Y_RNA Y RNA
GACUGAUCCAAGGGUUGUGAGUUACUUUUAGUGAUUGUUCAGAGUUACAGAUCAAACUGCUCUUUCCCCCAUCUCACUACUGAAUUUGACUGGUCUUAA